CAAUUGUUUCAGAACUGUUAGGAGAAAUUACUAGGAAUGAUAAACGGAAAAAAAAACUGUUAAACUACUUGCUCUACAAACAAGUGUGUUCAUGACUAAACAGACAAAGCAGAAUAAUAUAAUAAGAAAAUGUCAGUUUGCAACAUCAAGCAGCAUAACAAGCUUUAACGUCUGAAAUUGAAUGGAACUGAAUGAGACAGGAAGUCUCGAGCCAAAAAGAUUCAAAUGGCUGUGCCCACUGGUACAUGAAAAAUAAGGUGAAGCAGCUAAUCAAGGUCUUGCUGGGCUUACUAGUACCUUCAAUACAGGUGUGUUGGAGCUAAAGUCUGCAGGACAGGCAGGCACCCUCCAGGACCAACUUUGGACAACCCUGAUCCAAACUCUUGACACAAAUAUUCUAGCAUGAAUGCCCCCUAAGAGUCUCUUGAGUCCUCUGAAAUGUUUGGUCCAUCUAACAGUUCACCGCAUACAUCUCUGUACUGUCCUUGAGUCUCUGUUUGCGGCAGAAUGAACACUUCAUGUCUUUGAACCCGUAGAGCAGUGCAAUCCCUCCCAGCACCUGUACACAAGCUCCCACCCACCCGAAGUACAGCGAUCCAGCCGGGUGUAGAGUUAGUCGGGGUGGCUUGUGCGCAUUGAGUCCUUGCGUCUCUGAUAAAUUUGAAUCCACAUCAAUCCCCAGCUUGGAAAGAUGGCAAGUGUAUACUCCUAAUGCAGCCAGGCUGAGCACACCAGCCAGCGCCACCAACAGGCCACCAGCUGCCGCUACACUCCUCAGCGGGAUAUCAGUCCAGCAACGGACACCAAUGCUGGCGAGCACGAUCCCUGCUCCGCAAAGGAAGAGAGACGACAGUACCAUGCCCUGGACCAUCCGGACCCGAGAGUCCCGCUGGUAGGACCCUGACACAGGCCAGCAUUCUUUGACCUCAGAGUGCACCACCUGCAGGCAGCUCUCCCAUAGGCCAUCCGAGCGGAGUAGGAGGAGCUCUGUUGCCCCACCCUUUCCAGCAGCACCCAGCCGCGCCUGACCUUCUCUCCACUGUGGCGUGAUGGCAGCAGUGAACACCAGCACGAGGCCUAGAGGGGCGAACACCACCCCCAUCAGCAUGGAUGCUGGAGUGUGCAUCUCGUCAAUGGGGAUCUCUUCAAGAUGAAACCACUGUUAACAACCUGAUCUGGAAGAGAAUAACAUGGCUUGUUAGCUGACGGCUCUCCUUUGAGCUCUAAGGAACAUCGUCGCUCCUGGCAACAAGCAGAGUGGAGGUGAAUGGCCCGCUGUUGCUAAGAGACAGUAACCUGGAUGAUGGUACAGCUGCAUCUUUUGUGGUACAUCUGAAACAGUUCUUAAAAUACCAGCCACAGGUGUUAGACUGAGCAUCGCCUUCUGACGCAAAUGUGUGGUGGUGUUGUCCUACAAGCUGAGACUGUGAACACAUUUUAAACCAGAGAUAUUAUAUGUAGACGGCAAGUCAGACGGCUGUGUGCUCAGAGAGCAAGCCCAUGCCUGUUCCACACAUAAAUCACAAAUGAGAAAGCGUGAAUGACGCGAUGCUAUUAAAAGUGGAUAUUUUUAGUACGUGUGCCCUCUCUUUCUUGCAGAGCAUUUUCAUUAUCUAAUUAACCGUUAAACAACAUCUUGACAAUAUCACCAUCAGAUGUAUCUCCUAGACACAGAUGUGGGCAGAUAUUUUAACAUAUUGG
ensembl:antisense